rnacentral:rRNA from 1 species
UACAGAGGGUGCAAGCGUUAAUCGGAAUCACUGGGCGUAAAGCGCACGUAGGCGGACUCUUAAGUCGGUGGUGAAAUCCUGGAGCUCAACUCCAGAACUGCCUUCGAUACUGGGAGUCUCGAGUCCGAGAGAGGUGAGUGGAACUGCGAGUGUAGAGGUGAAAUUCGUAGAUAUUCGCAAGAACACCAGUGGCGAAGGCGGCUCUCUGGGACGGUACUGACGCUGAGACGCGAAAGCGUGGGGAGCGAACAGG